rnacentral:rRNA from 1 species
UGGGGAAUUUUGGACAAUGGGCGAAAGCCUGAUCCAGCAAUGCCGCGUGUGUGAAGAAGGCCUUCGGGUUGUAAAGCACUUUUGUCCGGAAAGAAAUCCUUGGCUCUAAUACAGUCGGGGGGAUGACGGUACCGGAAGAAUAAGCACCGGCUAACUACGUGCCAGCAGCCGCGGUAAUACGUAGGGUGCAAGCGUUAAUCGGAAUUACUGGGCGUAAAGCGUGCGCAGGCGGUUUGCUAAGACCGAUGUGAGAUCCCCGGGCUCAACCUGGGAACUGCAUUGGUGACUGGCAGGCUAGAGUAUGGCAGAGGGGGGUAGAAUUCCACUGUAGCAGUGAAAUGCGUAGAGAUGUGGAGGAAUACCGAUGGCGAAGGCAGCCCCCUGGGGCCAAUACUGACGCUCAUGCACGAAAGCGUGGGGAGCAAAACAGGAUUAGAUACCCUGGUAGUCCACGCCCCUAAACGAUGUCAACUAGUUGUUGGGGAUUCAUUUCCUUAGUAACGUAGCUAACGCGUGAAGUUGACCGCCU